rnacentral:rRNA from 1 species
UGGCGACCGGCGCACGGGUGAGUAACACGUAUCCAACCUUCCGUUCACACGGGGAUAGCCUUCUGAAAGGAAGAUUAAUACCCGAUAGUAUAAUAGAAUCGCAUGGUUUCUAUUAAAGAAUUUCGGUGAUCGAUGGGGAUGCGUUCCAUUAGUUUGUUGGUAAGGUAACGGCUUACCAAGACUUCGAUGGAUAGGGGUUCUGAGAGGAAGGUCCCCCACACUGGAACUGAGACACGGUCCAG